GAUGAACGCUAGCUACAGGCUUAACACAUGCAAGUCGAGGGACCGGCGCACGGGUGAGUAAUGCGUAUCCAACCUUCCCAUUACUGUGGGAUAACCUGCCGAAAGGCAGACUAAUACCGCAUGGUAAUGGUUGGGGAUGCGUCUGAUUAGCUUGUUGGCGGGGUAACGGCCCACCAAGGCGACGAUCAGUAGGGGUUCUGAGAGGAAGCGCCCCCACAUUGGAACUAAGACACGGUCCAAACUCCUACGGGAGGCAGCAGUGAGGAAUAUAGGUAAAUGGGCGAGAGCCUGAAACAGCCAAGUAGCGUGCAGGAUUACGGCCUAUGGGUUGUAAACUGCUUUUGUAUGAGGAUCGGUACCAUACUAAUAAGGACCGGCUAAUUCCGUGCCAGCCGCCGCGGUAAUAC
rnacentral:rRNA from 1 species